UACUGCAAAUAGCAGGUGGCUUGUUGUGUUU
rnacentral:piRNA from 1 species